UCUGGUUUGUCUCUUCAGUGUCUCAUGUGGCCCUGCAGCUUCUCCUCCUCCACCUCCUCCUGAAGCCUUCAUCUUCUUCAUCAUCAGCUGCUCAGUGACUCUGUUGGACGUCUCACCGUGUGGCAGCAGCUCAGGAGUUUGCAGUCAACCAAGGCCGACUCAGAAUCACUCCCACCGGGAAGAUCUGUGAAGGAAGGUCCACCCGGCUGGUCCAGAAGCUCCGGUCCAGCAGAGCAGCGUCAGGAUGGAGACGUAACCGGUGUUGAUGUCACCGCCUUGACGAAUAGAAGAAAAGCCUGUAUUUGGGUAUGUAGGACCGGUAGUCCAGAGGUAGUGAUGGUGGUUUGGAACCUGGAGAGUGCAGGUUCGAUCCCCCACCCUGCUCAAGCUUU